CGAGGAACAGCGGUUACACAUAUGCUUUUUGUGCAGAAGGUCCCGGGUCCGAGCCUGGGCCACAUCGUCGAGGCCUCCGUGGCGCAAUUGGUUAGCGCGUUCGGCUGUUAACCGAAAGGUAAACUGGACUGUGACUGCGGUCUGUCUUACAUUGGGCAAACCAAAUGCAACAUCAGUCAAGAUUUCUACCAAGACUUGUACGUGAAGCCAUUGAAAUUAAAAAAAUACCCAAAUUUCAAUAGAGAUGACGAGCUAAAAUUAUUUAACAUCUGGCAUCCAAAAUCUCUAAAUUAAAACCCAGAACUACGCAUACCAAAAAGGAAGAGGGCGCUGUCAUUGAUUUUUGCCAACAACCAUCUGUCUACAGCAAGUACCAACUACGAGGCAAUAAA